UACAACCGCACCUAUCAUCAAAGAACACCUAAAAUAAGAACGUCAUCAAUUACGUAACGUAGUAUUGUUUAACUUAAAUUAAUCCAUACGUUUUAUAAUUGUCGAGUGUUUAAAGUACCGCCGUCGGGGUGUUAAAAGAACAAAGAAACAAGAAAAAUCCAAGAUGGCGUCCACUUCGACCCGGCAUGGCCAUCUUUGUAUCACUACAUUUAACGAAUCUACAAGCAAAUAAGUGAGGCUCGUGUUAAAGAAGGUUACAAAAAGGCUGGAGAGAGGCUUCGAUUCUCUAAAGAAGGCUCUGGAGAAGAUUUGUAAAAGCAACAUUAAAAAAUAAGAAAGGCUCUUUGAAGUUAAGAAGAGCUUAAUAAAGGCUCAAUUUGGUCAUUGAUAAGAAGAACAGCUCGAGUUUAACUUUAAUAAAAGGCGAAACUUAUACUCAAGUUGAACAUUAAUAAACACUCCACACGAGUGAAGUAGAAGGCUCUAAUUGAAGAGAUUUAAAGAAAGAAGGCACGAAAAAGGCUCUAAUUUAAAUUAUUUUAACGAGAAGGCAUCAAGAAAGGCUACAAUUGAAAAGAUUUAAAGAAAUAAUAUAUCAGAAAAGCAUUUGAAGAUAGAAGGCACCAAUAAAAAGGCUCAAAUUGAAGAUAUUCAAAGAAAUAAGGCUCGAAAAUGCUAACACGUCGACAAAGAGGACUAGACAGACUUACACACGUUAUCAGACACUAGAACUGGAGAAGGAGUUCCAUUUUAAUCGCUAUCUGACACGAAGGAGGAGG